rnacentral:rRNA from 1 species
GAUGAACGCUGGCGGCGUGCCUAAUACAUGCAAGUCGAGCGAACGUACGAGAAGCUUGCUUCUCUGAUGUUAGCGGCGGACGGGUGAGUAACACGUGGAUAACCUACCUAUAAGACUGGGAUAACUUCGGGAAACCGGAGCUAAUACCGUAUGAUAUUUUGAACCGCAUGGUUCAAAAGUGAAAGACGGUCUCUCUGUCACUUAUAGAUGGAUCCGCGCUGCAUUAGCUAGUUGUUAAGGUAACGGCUUACCAAGGCAACGAUGCAUAGCCGACCUGAGAGGGUGAUCGGCCACACUGGAAGUGAGACGCGGUCCAGACUCCUACGGGAGGCAGCAGUAGGGAAUCUUCCGCAAUGGGCGAAAGCCUGACGGAGCAACGCCGCGUGAGUGAUGAAGGCGUUCGGAUCGUAAAACUCUGUUAUUAGUGAAGAACAUAUGUGUAAGUAACUGUGCACAAAUUGACGGUACCUAAACAGAAAGCCCCGGCUAACUACGUG